UGAAUCACUGCGCUGCCGAGAAUAUCCUCCAAUGUGCCCACGUCACGCAUCCCUCGCGCAUUACACAUAACAGCGCAUCGCUGCAAACUGCUCAGUGGAGAUUGCGGAAGAGCCUCAAGCGGAGCAUAGCAGAUGGUGGAGCUGAGAGAGAGAGGCGAGUGCAUGGGGCCUGCUUCGCGUACCUGGUGCUUAAAAGAGAUGUGAAGUGAGCUGUAAAGACAUCCUUGUGACGGGCCACAGGAAGGAACCAGUCUCAUGUCUCUAUCCAGCACUUCCCUCAGAAUGAACACUACUCAGUACUUUAAAACACUGUUAAAGACACAUACCUGCAUUGUACAAGCUGCUGGGUGACUAUUCCCUCUCUUUAUUGUCUUUAGUAAGCUGUUUACUGUACCCAGCCAACAGUAUCAUUCCAAUGAACAUGCUCUGUCUGCACAUAAUACUGGCAGUUGAUGAUGUUUGGAUUGUUAAAGCAUUGAGCAGUUUCCUUCACUGGUUUUCUCAACUAGCUAAUCACUUUUCUAUAUAAAAAGGACAUACUCAUUUGGCAACACAAAUUAUUUAUAAAAAUAAGGAAAUUAAC